rnacentral:rRNA from 1 species
AACGUAGGACGCAAGCGUUAUCCGGAGUUACUGGGCGUAAAGCGCGAGCAGGCGGCUCGACAAGUUCGCUGUGAAAGCUCCCGGCUCAACCGGGCGAGGCCAGUGGAAACUAUCGAGCUGGAGGGCAGUAGAGGCAGGCGGAAUUCCGGGUGGAGUGGUGAAAUGCGUAGAGAUCCGGAGGAACACCAGAGGCGAAGGCGGCCUGAGGGGCUGCACCUGACGCUGAGCCGCGAAAGCCAGGGGAGCGAACGGG